GGAUUGGGAGGGUUCUACGGAACCCGUUUGGUGAAUCUAGUGCCGAGAAAAGCCUUCUAUGUGUUGAAUUUCUAGUACCCGUACCCCAAACCGACACAGGUGGGUGGGUAGAGCAUACCUAGGGGCGCGUGAUAACUCUCUCUAAGGAACUCGGCAAAAUGGCCCUGUAACUUCGGGAUAAGGGGUGCCUGCGUGAGCAGGCCGCAGUGAAAUGGCUCUGGCGACUGUUUACCAAAAACACAGGUCUCUGCUAAGUCGUAAGACGAUGUAUAGGGGCUGACUCCUGCCCAGUGCCGGAAGGUUAAGGAAGUUGGUUAGCGCAAGCGAAGCUGGCGACCGAAGCCCCGGUGAACGGCGGCCGUAACCAUAACGGUCCUAAGGUAGCGAAAUUCCCUGUCGGGUAAGUUCCGACCCGCACGAAAGGAGUAACGAUCAGAGCGCUGUCUCGGAGAGAGACACGGCGAAAUAGGAUUGUCCGUGAAGAUACGGACUACCUGCACCCGGACAGAAAGACCCUAUGAAGCUUUACUGUAACUUGGAAUUGUGUUCGGACUUUGUCUGCGCAGAAUAGGUGGGAGGCUAUGAAACGUUCCUCGCGGGGAACUGGAGCCAUCGUUGAGAUACCACUCUGGCAGAGUCUGGAUUCUAACCUACGGGGACAGUUCCAGGUGGGCAGUUUGACUGGGGCGGUCGCCUCCUAAAAUGUAACGGAGGCGCGCAAAGGUUCCCUCAGGCUGGUUGGAAAUCAGCCAUAGAGUGUAAAAGCAUAAGGGAGCUUGACUGUGAGACCUACAAGUCGAGCAGGGACGAAAGUCGGCUUUAGUGAUCCGACGGCACUGAGUGGAAGGGCCGUCGCUCAACGGAUAAAAGUUACUCUAAGGAUAACAGGCUGAUCUCCCCCAAGAGUUCACAUCGACGGGGAGGUUUGGCACCUCGAUGUCGGCUCGUCGCAACCUGGGGCGGUAGUACGUCCCAAGGGUUGGGCUGUUCGCCCAUUAAAGCGGCACGUGAGCUGGGUUCAGAACGUCGUGAGACAGUUCGGUCCAUAUCCGGUGUAGGCGUAGGAGCAUUGAAAGGAUCUCUCCUUAGUACGAGAGGACCGGGAGGGACGUACCUCUGGUGUACCUGUUAUCGUGCCAACGGUAAACGCAGGGUAGCCAUGUACGGAGUGGAUAACCGCUGAAAGCAUCUAAGUGGGAAGCCCACCUUAAGAUGAGUGCUCCCUUGAGGCCACGGGAAGACGACCCGUUUGAUAGGCGCUAGGUGGAAGUGCAGUAAUGCAUGCAGCCGAGGCGUACUAAUAGGCCGAUGGC
rnacentral:rRNA from 1 species